UGUGCCCUACGGGACGCAGCAGUGAGGAAUAUUGGUCAAUGGGAGAGAUCCUGAACCAGCCAAGCCGCGUGAGGGAAGACGGCGCUAUGGGUUGUAAACCUCUUUUGUCGGAGAACAAAACCCGGGACGUGUCCCGGACUGCGUGUAUCCGAAGAAAAAGCAUCGGCUAACUCCGUGCCAGCAGCCGCGGUAAUACGGAGGAUGCGAGCGUUAUCCGGAUUUAUUGGGUUUAAAGGGUGCGUAGGCGGUCCGUUAAGACAGCGGUAACAUUG
rnacentral:rRNA from 1 species